rnacentral:rRNA from 1 species
CCUACGGGAGGCAGCAGUGGGGAAUAUUGCACAAUGGGCGAAAGCCUGAUGCAGCGACGCCGCGUGAGGGAUGACGGCCUUCGGGUUGUAAACCUCUUUCAGCAGGGAAGAAGCGAAAGUGACGGUACCUGCAGAAGAAGCGCCGGCUGACUACGUGCCAGCAGCCGCGGUAAUACGUAGGGCGCAAGCGUUGUCCGGAAUUAUUGGGCGUAAAGAGCUCGUAGGCGGCUUGUCACGUCGGAUGUGAAAGCCCGGGGCUUAACCCCGGGUCUGCAUUCGAUACGGGCUAGCUAGAGUGUGGUAGGGGAGAUCGGAAUUCCUGGUGUAGCGGUGAAAUGCGCAGAUAUCAGGAGGAACACCGGUGGCGAAGGCGGAUCUCUGGGCCAUUACUGACGCUGAGGAGCGAAAGCGUGGGGAGCGGAACAGGAUUAGAUACCCUGGUAGUCCACGCCGUAAACGUCGGGAACUAGGUGUUGGCGACAUUCCACGUCGUCGGUGCCGCAGCUAACGCAUUAAGUUCCCGCCUGGGGAGUACGGCCGCGAAGGCAAAACUCAAAUGAAUUGACG